AGAAGAGGAGGCUGUGGAUGGGGGAGGGGCGGAGGGGCGCUAGGGCAUCUCCGUGUCUUCCAGGGCGGAAAACAAACAAACCCAGGAGCAGUCCCUUAUGUCUCUUCCUGCCUCUGGGACGCCACCAGGUACAGCGCUUCUGUGUUAUUGAUGCUAAUGACCCACCUAAUGGCCCCUCAAGAAGGAUUUCAAAUUUGCAAAUGACAGCUUUUUCGGGCACCACAAAUCAAGGAGCCUUGCAAAAGGGGCCCAGAUCACUGAAGGCCUUGGAUAAUGGAUGAUAAAAUGCAGUUUAAUGUGGACAAAUGUGCAAUAAUAUGUCUUGGAACAAACAAUCAGAAGGAGGAACAGCUGGUAAAUGAAUUGCUUUGUGUUACACUGACCGGGGACUAGAAUGGUCCUCGGCAGCACCAAAGCUGCAGAGGGAAAGGCUGGAGAGAAUGGACAAGAAGCCCAGAGAAGUCAGGGGGAGGAGAAUGGCCAGCAGAACGCCCGCCUUACAGCACCUACAUCAAAUCCGCCAGCAAAUUCUUCAACACUAACGUGAAAACAUCCAACACCAUGCUGUCAUCAAGUCUAAACUGCAACAUUGCAACUCUUUGCUUACAUUUGACUUCUCUCCAAUCCAUUCUCCCUCUGGUAUCCAAGGCAAUCUUAACACUAAAAACAGACCAUGUCAUACCUUGCUUAAAAGACUCUGAUGCCUUCCAUCCUGUGUGGAAUAAAAUCCAAGUUAAUUAUUCUGACUUCUGAAGCCCUAUUCUGUGAAGCCAACUUGGUAUUGAGUAAAUGACAGUGUGUGACUUCCCAGACUACAUAAUAAAACAUCACAACCUCCUCCUGUGUUCUCUUGGAUCACUCACUCUGGGAAAAGGCAGCUACAAUGUCACGAGGACAUACAGCAGCCUCACGAAGUGUGUGUGGUGAGGACCUGAGGCCUCCAGCACCAGCCAGUGCUGAUUCUCUACUCACAUGAAUGUGCCAUCUUGGAAUUGGACCCCCCACCCCAGUCAAGCCUUCAGAUGACUGAAACCCCAGCUGACAUUGGUCUGCAACUUCUUGUGACAUUUCUAGCAGAACCACCCAGAACCCUGACCCAUGGAAAGUGAGUGGUAUAAUAAAUGUUUAUUGUUUCAAA